rnacentral:rRNA from 1 species
CACGUAGGGGGCAAGCGUUGUCCGGAUUUAUUGGGCGUAAAGAGCUCGUAGGCGGCUUAGUAAGUCGGGUGUGAAACCUCCAGGCUCAACCUGGAGACGCCACCCGAUACUGCUGUGGCUAGAGUCCGGUAGGGGAGCGUGGAAUUCCUGGUGUAGCGGUGAAAUGCGCAGAUAUCAGGAGGAACACCGGUGGCGAAGGCGGCCCACUGGGCUGUCACUGACGCUGAGGCGCGAAAGCUCGGGGAGCGAACGGG